rnacentral:tRNA from 1 species
GUGGCUGUAGCUCAUCUGGCAGAGCGUCUCCCUGUGGAGGAGAAGGUAGCGGGUUC